rnacentral:rRNA from 1 species
UACGUAGGGGGCUAGCGUUGUCCGGAAUCAUUGGGCGUAAAGAGCGUGUAGGCGGCCCGGUAAGUCCGCUGUGAAAGUCGGGGGCUCAACCCUCGAAUGCCGGUGGAUACUGUCGGGCUAGAGUGCGGAAGAGGCGAGUGGAAUUCCUGGUGUAGCGGUGAAAUGCGCAGAUAUUAGGAGGAACACCAAUUGCGAAGGCAGCUCGCUGGGACGUAACUGACGCUGAGACGCGAAAGCGUGGGGAGCAAACAGG